CCCCAGACUCCUACGGGAGGCAGCAGUGAGGAAUAUUGGUCAGUGGGCGGGAGCCUGAACCAGCCAAGUCGCGUGAGGGAAGACGGUCCUAUGGAUUGUAAACCUCUUUUGUCGGGGAGCAAAGAGGCCACGUGUGGUCAAAAGCGAGAGUACCCGAAGAAAAAGCAUCGGCUAACUCCGUGCCAGCAGCCGCGGUAAUACGGGGGAUGCAAGCGUUGUCCGGAAUCAUUGGGCGUAAAGAGUUCGUAGGUGGCACGUUAAGUCUGGUGUUAAAUGCAGAGGCUCAACCUCUGUUCGGCACUGGAUACUGGCGAGCUUGAAUGCGGUAGAGGUAAAGGGAAUUCCUGGUGUAGCGGUGAAAUGCGUAGAUAUCAGGAGGAACAUCGGUGGCGUAAGCGCUUUACUGGGCCGUAAUUGACACUGAGGAACGAAAGCCAGGGUAGCAAAUGGGAUUAGAUACCCUGGUA
rnacentral:rRNA from 1 species